CCUCUCUUAUCCGGCCUCCCCUUAUCCGGAUCUCUCUAUUAUCCGGACGCACACUUGCCGAGAUUUUUUUUCAAUUCAAUUUUAUUAGUACGUGAGGAAAUGAGAUUGCAAUCUAAACUCAAUCCUAUACGCAAACUCACUUUGAUUAAAUAUAUUUUCCAGUGUAGUCUACCUAAAACAACAUUAUUUUUCAUGAAAAUAUCUCACCCAAAUCACCAAAAGAAUUUAGGCAGGAUAAUUUUCCAGUAAAUCGGGGUGCAGUGUAAACAUUUCAUCACGUUCUCUUGUUGUUUCCCCGGGAAAAACAACACAUGUUCGCUAGCUAAUGCUCGGCCUCAAUACGGACAGCGCCAUCUAUCAUGUUUGAGCCUACAGUCAGUAUAACAAUGGCUGACAUUGCGAAGCUGCGAUAGCGGCCGCGAUGAUCUAAUUGUAAAACUUACUUUCAUCGAGUCAUUCAUUCUCUCUCUUUCGAGGUAUGCUCGAUUUAUACCUCAAUCAUUUUAGCAGGUAAAUUAUCCAACAGUUUUGGCCAUCGUUCGAUUUCAUUUCCGUAAAAAUUACCGCCUAUAAUUUGCACUGACACUGCAGUGAAUACAUGUCUGUACCGUACGCCCGGCCCACAACAAUAGAUAACGUGUAGCUACCGCCGCGUUGCGGGGAUCGAGGCCGCAGCUUGCGUGUAUUUAAUAUUGGGUCUCCCAGAUCCGGAUAAAUCCCUUAUCCGGAUUGGUGCUGGUCCCAAUGUGUCCGGAUAAGAGAGGUCGGACUGUAUAGAAGACCACAUUGUUGGUAUUUGAGGGAUAGGUGGUGGAAGUGGGAGGGAUUGUUUCUGCCUAUAUGCUUCUCUCUCCAGAGUGUGGCGUAGACACAGCAAGGACAGACACCCUGAAGAGAUAUCAUCUCUGGUUGAGUCAGGACCGAAACCCAAGGACCAGGAGUCCCGUCUGAUGCCCCCUCCCAUCAUCAACACCGGCCACCCCCAUCCAUUUGGUGAGA